rnacentral:rRNA from 1 species
AUGAGUAAAAUACUUCCUAUAGCCAUCCUCCUGCUCUGUCUUCUGAGUCACGGACCUGGUAUGGCCACAGUUUCAGCUUGGGAUGACAAGGAUUUCUUCAGAUACUGUCCACCGUCCUGGUGCAGCAAAGAUGGACCUGAAAUCAGGUUCCCGCUCAGGCUUGAAUCCAGCAAUUCAUCAUCAUCAUGUGGUGCAACAUGUGCGAAGAUAACAUGCUCUGGCCAAGACACCAUUCUGCUUCACCCACUUCUUGGACCAUGCAAAGUGACCGCCAUAGAUUAUAGCCGGGCUUCCUUCAGCAUCGUCCCACUUGUAGACUCUUGCCCGCUUCAAAAGCUCAUCUCCAUAAAUCUCCCAGCCAUAGCUGAUGUCAAUCGUUGUGCACUAUAUGAGUCCACACCUGGAACAUUAGUACAUUGUUCAAGUGUGUUUACACCAAGUGGCACUGCUGAAUUUGCAGGUGACAUAUAUCCCAAGAAUACUGCCGAUUAUAUUGUUGGCCCAAUAUCUUGCUUUAGCAACCAAACUCUGCUUGCGUAUUUGGUGAUGCCUCGCCUAUACAUGCAUGUGCUUCCCUUGGACUGCAAGGUCAUCUCACAUGGCAACAUUCCGAUACCCAACCCAUCAACAUCCAUGCAUGACCCUACGUUCAAGCAAUUAUCGGAAAAAAUAAUCAAUUUUGCUGAAAUAACUGCUAAUUGGGAGUAUUCUAAUUGGGAUAACGAUGGAAGCAUUCCCAGCAGUUGCACACAAUGUGAACUUCAUGGGCGACGCUGCGCAUUCAGCUCAGAAAGGCACCAAGUGUUCUGCAUGGAUAAGAGACCUCAUGGCUCACGUGUCAAAGUCAUUGCAGCUACAUCAUCUGUAGCCGCAUUUAUAGUUCUUUCGGUGAUGGUGGCCACAACGAUCUAUCUGUCCUUGAAGUCAAGGUACAAUGAAGAGAUAAAUAUGAAGGUUGAAAUGUUUCUCAAGGCAUAUGGCACAUCGAAACCCACAAGGUACACUUUCCCUGAAGUUAAGAAGAUGGCAAGACGAUUCAAGGAUAAACUAGGCCAGGGUGGAUUUGGAAGUGUAUACAAAGGAGAGCUACCAAAUGGAGUUCCUGUGGCAGUGAAGAUGCUAGAGUGCUCUACAGGAGAGGGAGAGGAAUUCAUCAAUGAAGUUGCAACCAUUGGACUAAUCCACCAUGCAAAUAUCGUCCGUCUUUUGGGCUUUUGCUCCGAAGGAAUGAGACGGGCUCUUAUUUAUGAAUUCAUGCCUAACGAGUCACUGGAGAAAUACAUAUUCACACAUAUUUCCAAUAUUUCUCAACAACUCCUAGCACCCAACAAAAUGCUAGAUAUUGCUUUAGGCAUUGCCCGAGGAAUGGAAUACCUGCAUCAAGGCUGCAACCAGCGCAUUCUCCACUUUGACAUCAAGCCUCACAACAUCCUGCUGGACUACAACUUCAACCCAAAGAUCUCAGACUUUGGCCUUGCAAAGCUGUGUGCAAGGGACCAGAGCAUCGUCACCUUGACUGCAGCCAGAGGCACCAUGGGAUACAUCGCACCAGAAUUAUACUCUCGGAACUUUGGAGGGGUGUCGUACAAGUCUGACGUGUACAGUUUCGGCAUGCUGGUGUUGGAAAUGGUGAGUGGAAGGAGGAACUCAGACCCAAGUGUUGAGAGCCAGAAUGAGGUGUACCUCCCAGAGUGGAUUUAUGAGAAAAUAACCAAUGAGCAUGAAUGUGAGCUUACUUUGGAAAUGACAGCAGAAGACAAAGAAAAGAUGAGGCAGCUGACUAUUGUGGCACUAUGGUGUAUCCAGUGGAACCCGAAGAAUCGGCCAUCACUGACAAAGGUGGUAAACAUGUUAACGGGGAGGUUGCAGAACCUACAGAUUCCCCCUAAGCCCUUUGUGUCGUCUGAAAAUCAUCCUACAACAUAA